rnacentral:lncRNA from 1 species
UCAAAAAUGUAUCAGCAGGGUUCUCUGUAUGUGUUUCAGUUCAAUGUGUAGUUCAGACUUUUGAAAUUCAGCUCGUUGUUAUUGUCGUUGGGAUGAAUUAAACAGUGCUGUUUGCUAAAGAAAUAAUUUUUUGUUUGUAUCUGUGCAGGUUGACCUGCCUAACGGUGGGACGCUCUCAAGGACCGCCUCGAGAAAGGACUUCCAUUUGGUUCAGCGGUCCACCAUCGCAAUAUGGUGGACAGAUGCCCACGCGCAUAGGAGCUUCACGGGAACGAACCGUUUUGCAGCAGCAGGCGGCUAGAAGCCUGCACAUCGGCCAUUGUCCCCACAUAAAGUGGGAGCAUAGAGAGUCUCUUCCAGGCACUACAGUGCCGCCCAAAGCCUUUCGGAAGAGGAAGCGAAACAGGCCGCCCAGAACACCAGGCUUUUGGCUGUCCCAGAAGACAACCAAGUUGAGGCGAGGGCAGAAAAAAUAAACAGAGAAGUCAUUUUCAUUUCCAAA